rnacentral:misc_RNA from 1 species
CAAAUGCGAAAUGUCGUGUGACAUGCAUUCCUCGUGAAUCAUCUAAUUUUUGAACGCACCUUGCACCCAGCGUGAGAACGACGGGUAUACAUGUUUGAGUAUGGAAUGUGAAAAGAUCUCGCAAUAUCUGCGGGGACGUGAGAGUCUAGCGGGGUCGUUGACCACGAGUGCUAGUCUCUUUAAAGGAAAGCCUUGUGAGGUGUGCAGGAAGGUUGGAAGCCAGUGAUGGAUUUCAACGAUCUAGUGGGAUAACAUCCAGACAUUAGAAACUAGCACAUCUUGAUAACAGGCACCGACCGAGUGAAAUAUGCAUCUAUCAAUUGCUUCAUUUGCAUUUAUCAAUUGCUUCAUUUGCUUUUCAUUCCAUCCAUCUCCUCUCACCAUCUCAAAUCAUGUAGGA